AGGUGUUCUCUUCGUUGUAGUCAUUUGUUUUGCUGGAUGGAGAAGGGCUUCUAAACAAGCAAAAGGCACUAGACCAAGUAACUUUACUCAAGAUGACAAUCCUAAUUCUCGGGAGGAAGACCUAGAUCGACUACCAUUAUUUGUCUUUUUUACUAUUUUAUCUUCCACUGACAACUUCUCUUAUGCAAACAAGAUUGGUGAAGGUGGAUUUGGUGCAGUUUACAAGUCACAGAGGGUUGCACACGUCAUUCAGUCUAUUAGUUGAAAUUAAGCCAUAAUGAACUACAGGGUGAACUACCAACUGGACAAGAAAUAGUAGUGAAGCGGCUAUCAAAAGAUUCAGGGCAAGGGCUUGAAGAGUUCAAGAAUGAGGUUAUCUUCAUCUCAAAGCUACAGCUCCAGAAUCUUGUUCGGCUCUUAGGAUGCUGUAUUCAUGGAGAAGAGAGGAUGUUAGUAUAUAAAUACAUGCCCAAGAGAAGUUUGGACUUGUAUCUUUUUAAUCAAUCAAGAGGUACUUCACUUGAUUGGCAGAAACGCUUCAACAUUAUAGCGGGGAUUGCUCGAGGGCUUCUUUAUCUUCAUAGAGAUUCAAGGUUGAGAAUCAUUCAUAGGGAUCUAAAAGCCAG
rnacentral:misc_RNA from 1 species